rnacentral:antisense_RNA from 1 species
GGGCCCGAGGAGCUUGUUGGGACGUUCAGGAGACCCCGAGGUGGGAGGUUUUGGACACAACCCGCAUCUCCUCAGAGCGCCUUCGACUCUGGAGGCCGCCGUGUGACGGCCUGACACAGGGCUGCGGGAGAACAUACUAUUUCAUAUCAAAUCAGAUUCUCCACGUUACCUACUCAAGUCAUAAGCAUCUGAAGAAAGUGCUCUGUAAAUUCUCAGCAGAAUAUGCUUUCAACAAUUCUUUAAAAACAAUAAAGUCAUAAUAAAAACC